UACAGAGGUCCCAAGCGUUGUUCGGAUUCAUUGGGCGUAAAGGGUGCGUAGGUGGCGCUGUAAGUCGGGUGUGAAAUUUCGGAGCUUAACUCCGAAACUGCAUUCGAUACUGCGGUGCUUGAGGACUGGAGAGGAGACUGGAAUUCCCAGUGUAGCGGUGAAAUGCGUAGAUAUCGUAAGGAAGACCAGUGGCGAAGGCGAGUCUCUGGACAGUUACUGACACUGAGACACGAAAGCCAGGGGAGCAAACGGG
rnacentral:rRNA from 1 species